rnacentral:sRNA from 1 species
UACUAUAGUUGUCUUUCGUUUUGGGUC